GGCGACGGGUGAGUAACCGUGGGCAAUCUGCCCUGCACUCUGGGACAAGCCCUGGAAACGGGGUCUAAUACCGGAUACGACACACGACCGCAUGGUCUGUGUGUGGAAAGCUCCGGCGGUGCAGGAUGAGCCCGCGGCCUAUCAGCUUGUUGGUGGGGUGAUGGCCUACCAAGGCGACGACGGGUAGCCGGCCUGAGAGGGCGACCGGCCACACUGGGACUGAGACACGGCCCAGACUCCUACGGGAGGCAGCAGUGGGGAAUAUUGCACAAUGGGCGCAAGCCUGAUGCAGCGACGCCGCGUGAGGGAUGACGGCCUUCGGGUUGUAAACCUCUUUCAGCAGGGAAGAAGCGAAAGUGACGGUACCUGCAGAAGAAGCGCCGGCUAACUACGUGCCAGCAGCCGGGGGUAAUACG
rnacentral:rRNA from 1 species